CUUUGACUGUGCUGCACCGUCCAAGGCAACCUGCACAGUUCAAGCUCUUCAACGCUCCUGCAAGCGGCGAAGCCGAAAUGUCGCAACACGAUUGCAAUUCCCAUCAUCCGGAUGCGAGAUGCAAUGGAUCUUAAUGCAGCGAUCGCAGAACUGGCCCCUGCAACUCACACGGGCGAGUCAUACCAGGAAACUGGAAGCACCGCUAAUCGGAUCGAAGAAAGUAAAAGCUAAAAAAGGUAAGACCAUCUAUUUUGUGGGUUUCCAGGUCACUGGAUGAAGGAGAAAGGUGCCCAGAGCAGUUCUAAACCUGGAAAUCUCGAGCCGCUCUCAACGACGCGAAGUCUGGUUCCGAGAGUUUCGCGUCAUCUGGAUAUCUCGAGUGUACUUGUGACAGACGCAUUGUACAAUGAUUCUGAAGCCUUAGGUGAAAUCGUCUACCUGGGGUCCUGAGCGUGCAACACCAUGAU